UCUAUCGUCCAUCCUCAUUUGUGGAUUGUCCAUCCCAUAUCCUAAGAAUUGUCCUGAAUUCUUCUUCCCCAUUUGUGGAUUGUGGCCACCAAUGUCUUUUGAAAGUAGUGUUUCCAACUCGCAUGUGUCUUUUAAGUUGAAAACAAUGGGUUUCAAAAGGAUUGUCAACUGAGCAACCGUUGUCUUCCCUCUCAGCAUAGGUGAAAGUCCAGAGUAUGAAGUUGAACUUCCGUCGCAUUUGGCAAAAUAGGUCGUGUCGGGAAGGAUUCAGCCAGUACCAUAGUUGUUGGAUUGAAUACUGAGAGCAUUGUGUUGGUGCAUAUGUUCGAGGGCAUCGUCGCGAUCUGCUCAGGUCUAUGGAGAAGUACAUGACAUGAUAGACGCAGACACUGUUCCCCGUGAAACUCCUUCCACUACAUCUAUAGAUUAUUUCUAUCCCAGAUGCAAUCAGACUCCCAUGGUAGACUCCAUUGAUGAUGAGGACAAACAAAUGCCUAAGGGAGUGCAAGCACUAUAUAGAAGGUUCGAACGGCUACAACUACAGCAAGAUCUACCGCGAUAAGAAUGUGUUGGAAAUACGAUUGCUCUGCCACUCCACGCGAUAAGAGCAAGAAGCUCAUUGAUGGGUGAUUUAGAUUUCAAGAUAUGUUUUGUUAUCAAACCUCGUGCUUUAAACUAUGAUAAUACUUUUUAUUUAGUUAUAUUAGAC